GAUGAACGCUAGCGACAGGCCUAACACAUGCAAGUCGAGGGGCAGCACAAGGAGUAAUCUGAGGUGGCGACCGGCGCACGGGUGAGUAACACGUAUGCAACCUGCCUGUAAGCGGGGAAUAACCCGUUGAAAGACGGACUAAUACCCUAUAACACAGGGGUCCCGCAUGGGAAUAUUUGUUAAAGGACAACCGGUUGAAGAUGGGCAUGCGUUCCAUUAGCUAGUUGGCGGGGUAACGGCCCACCAAGGCAACGAUGGAUAGGGGAACUGAGAGGUUUAUCCCCACACUGGUACUGAGACACGGACCAGACUCCUACGGGAGGCAGCAGUGAGGAAUAUUGGUCAAUGGACGCAAGUCUGAACCAGCCACGUCGCGUGAAGGAAGACGGCCCUACGGGUUGUAAACUUCUUUUAUACGGGAAUAAAGUGCCCCACGCGUGGGGUUUUGCAUGUACCGUAUGAAUAAGGAUCGGCUAACUCCGUG
rnacentral:rRNA from 1 species